UGUACGAAAAUAACCCCUUCCCGUUCUCGUGUUUGUGCAAUAAAGAAAAAGGAAAAGAACAAGUGAAGCAUAUCCAAUUGAUGUCAGCAGUUGAUGUAGCAGACGCAUUGGUAGGAGCCUUGACGGAGGUUGGCUAAACAAACGCCGUUACCGUUCUUCUGUGACAGACAGCUUUGCUUGCACGACGUCAGACUGCAACUCCCUGGGUUCAUCAUUGAGCAGAAGCAUCCAUUCGACAGGAGUGAAGAGGAUGGGAGGAGGGCAUGGGCAUGGGCAUGAGGAGCCGUACUACCUUCACGCGAAGCAUAUGUACAACUUGGACAGGAUAUGAAGCAUCAGGGCCUUAAGAUGUCUCUUGCUGUUUUCACUGCCUUCACCAUUGGAGUGGCUGUUCCUGUCUACGCCGUCAUCUUCCAGCAGAAGAAGACUGCCUCUGCUUGACCUCUGCUCUUCCAAUAUCUUCUUUCUCAGUUGCUGGCUGUUUCAUGUGUCAGAAAUAUGGCAUCUUUUUAUGCUGUAGAUAAUUUAUUACCACAUGUCUGAGUUGUCGUCAGAAUCGGCAGUUGACCA